rnacentral:rRNA from 1 species
UACUAUGUUACGACUUAUCUCAUCUUAAUAACGAGAGUGACGGGCGAUGUAUACACAUUUUAGAGCUAAAAUCACAAUAAUAAUUCUAAUUAUUAAUUACCAUUAAAUCCCCCUUCAUAAAAUAAUUUCAAACCCUAAUCCGUUUAUUUUAUAAAUAAUGUAAUCCAUCACCACUUAAUCAUUAACUGCACCUUGACCUGAAUUAAAAUCAAUUAAAAUUUAAAGAAAAUUAACCCUAAAAAGAUUUUCAAAUAAACGGCGGUAUACAUAUUAAAUUAUAUUAAGUAAGGUUCAACGUGGAUUAUCGAUAAUGGAACAGAUUCCUCUAACCAGACUAAAAUACCGCCAAAUUCUUUAAGUUUCAAGAUCAUAUCUAAUACUACUCAAGUUUAAAAUUUUAAAUCUAAAAUAAUAGGGUAUCUAAUCCUAGUUU